AACGAACGCUGGCGGCGUGCUUAACACAUGCAAGUCGAACGCGAAAAUCACUUCGGUGGUGAGUAGAGUGGCGCACGGGUGAGUAAUGAAUAGGAACGUACCUAGUGGUGGGGAAUAACUUCAGGAAACCGAAGCUAAUACCGCAUAUGAUCGCAAGAUCAAAGAUGGCCUAUCCUUGGAAGCUAUCGCCAUUAGAUCGGCCUAUUUCCCAUUAGCUUGUUGGUGGGGUAAAGGCCUACCAAGGCUACGAUGGGUAGCUGGUCUGAGAGGAUGAUCAGCCACACUGGAACUGAGACACGGUCCAG
rnacentral:rRNA from 1 species